ACCUGCUGCUCAGCAAACAGCAGGGGCAAUAAAUUUACAGACAGGAACCAAAUACUAGACAAAUGUUCUGUGUCCCUCUCCUGCAUCUCCAUCUUUCCCCACAUGAGGGCUUUUUUCAUUCAUCUGAGAUCUGCUGCUGCUCUACACCAAUCAGCCACUGACAGGUUCCUGCUUGUGCUACUGUAAUGCUGGGAUUAAAGAAGUUUGAUCUUAUUACAUGCCACCUAACUCACUGGUUCCCACCCUGGGGGGUCCUGACUCACACUAGGAGUCACCAAAGCUUCACAAGUGUCCCUUUGCUGCUGUAAUGCUGCAAAUGUCCUCGCUUUGGGAUAAUUAAAGGUUUAUCUUAUCUUA